rnacentral:rRNA from 1 species
GAGUUUGAUCCUGGCUCAGGAUGAACGCUGGCGGCGUGCCUAACACAUGCAAGUCGAGCGCGGUUGUGCUUAGUAUUGAGUGUUUUAUUGAUAUAAAACAUUGAAUUCUAUGCACAACUGAGCGGCGGACGGGUGAGUAACGCGUGGGUAACCUGCCCUAUACACAUGGAUAACAUACUGAAAAGUUUACUAAUACAUGAUAAAAUAGUUUUUCGGCAUCGAAGAAUUAUCAAAGUGUUAGCGGUAUAGGAUGGACCCGCGUCUGAUUAGCUAGUUGGUGAGAUAACUGCCCACCAAGGCAACGAUCAGUAGCCGACCUGAGAGGGUGAUCGGCCACAUUGGAACUGAGACACGGUCCAAACUCCUACGGGAGGCAGCAGUGGGGAAUAUUGCACAAUGGGCGCAAGCCUGAUGCAGCAACGCCGCGUGAACGAUGAAGGUCUUCGGAUCGUAAAGUUCUGUUGCAGGGGAAGAUA